rnacentral:rRNA from 1 species
UACGUAGGGUGCAAGCGUUAAUCGGAAUUACUGGGCGUAAAGCGUGCGCAGGCGGUGAUGUAAGACAGUUGUGAAAUCCCCAGGCUCAACUUGGGAACUGCAUCCGAUACUGGAUGGCUUGAAUUCGGGAGAGGGAUGCAGAAUUCCAGGUGUAGCGGUGAAAUGCGUAGAUAUCUGGAGGAACACCGGUGGCGAAGGCGGCAUCCUGGACCGGUAUUGACGCUGAGGCGCGAAAGCCAGGGGAGCAAACGGG